CCCUGGCUGGCUCAGUUGGUAGGGCAUAUGACUUCUGAUCCUGGGUUGUGAGUUCAAGCCCCAUGUUGGGUG
rnacentral:tRNA from 1 species